AUAGAUGCAUGUUAUAAACUUGCUUGGUGUGAUUAGAUAUUCAUGUUUUUGAAGAUUUUCACUUGACCAGCUUCAGUUUGUGAAUUGCUGCCUCGGUUUUUAAAAUGUAAGCAAAUUUUAACAAACUCACGCACAGUUUAAGAAAGUGAGAGUAGAAUAGAACUGCUUUCCCCUCCCUCAGCUCUCUCUCUCACACACGAUCACACACAAAGACAAAGAUAUGGUCACCCGCAAGAGCCACCACUAAAAAGUCUAGGAUUCUGUUGUUAAUAUAUCAAACCAAAUAUUUAAUGGACACAGUGAAUGUAUUAAUGUGUUGUUAUUAAUUUAUUGGCAAAAUUAAUCACCAUCGAAUGUUCACUUCACGUGGACAAGAUAGGUGAAAUAAUGUGCUGUGUAAAUCUAUCAUCAGAUGGAUGGAUGGAUGUGAAAUUCUUUACUUAAGUCUACUUAGCUAACUAGGUUCUACUACUAUUAUAGCUCAGUUGCCUUCUAGGGUUUCGAAAUAUAUUAUCCUCCUUCUUUCUGAAUCUCUUUCAGCUUUUUGGAAGUAACCCCCCUUUUAGCCAAAAAUGUAAAUAUUUGCAGAAACCUCGCAAAUCACCCUGAAAUGAAGCAUCAAUUUCAUGAAUCUGAAUAUCCUACAGUGAGAUGCCCUUCAUUAUUGAAGACGCUAGUCGGUGAAGAAGCUGCUGUAUUCUGAGGCAUGAUAAGGCACAUGUAUAUCUCAAUCAACAGGAGUGAAUAAAGAUGAAUCACAUACUACAUUAUCACUCUCUAUAAUUGUAUCAUAUUGUUUCUUCUUCUUUUUUUUUCCCUUCAAUCAGAUGUAAUUUAAAGGUCCCAAAAGCGACAAAUAAUAAAAUGUUCCAUAUAUGCUGGCCACAAGCAAUUUCAAAUUCAAAUCUUCUUCAUGUAAACUAGACCAAAAAUAGUAUUCUGAUGUGUCUACCCAAGAAAAAA